UACGUAGGGUGCAAGCGUUAAUCGGAAUUACUGGGCGUAAAGCGUGCGCAGGCGGUGAUGUAGAACAGAUGUGAAAUCCCCGGGCUCAACCUGGGAACUGCAUUGUGACUGCAUCGCUGGAGUGCGGCAGAGGGGGAUGGAAUUCCGCGUGUAGCAGUGAAAUGCGUAGAUAUGCGGAGGAACACCGAUGGCGAAGGCAAUCCCCUGGGCCUGCACUGACGCUCAUGCACGAAGCGUGG
rnacentral:rRNA from 1 species